UACGUAGGCAGCGAGCGUUUGUUCGGAGUUACUGGGCGUAAAGGGUGUGUAGGCGGUUGUUUAAGUUUGGUGUGAAAUCUCCCGGCUCAACUGGGAGGGUGCGCCGAAUACUGAAUGACUUCGAGUGCGGGAGAGGAGAGUGGAAUUCCUGGUGUAGCGGUGAAAUGCGUAGAUAUCAGGAGGAACACCGGUGGUGUAGACGGCUCUCUGGACCGUAACUGACGCUGAGACACGAAAGCGUGGGUAGCAAACAGG
rnacentral:rRNA from 1 species